rnacentral:rRNA from 1 species
GUUGAACGCUGGCGGCAUGCUUUACACAUGCAAGUCGAACGGUAACAGGCCGCAAGGUGCUGACGAGUGGCGAACGGGUGAGUAAUGCAUCGGAACGUGCCCAGUCGUGGGGGAUAACUAUCCGAAAGGAUAGCUAAUACCGCAUACGAUCUGCGGAUGAAAGCGGGGGACCUUCGGGCCUCGCGCGAUUGGAGCGGCCGAUGUCAGAUUAGGUAGUUGGUGGGGUAAAGGCUCACCAAGCCAACGAUCUGUAGCUGGUCUGAGAGGACGACCAGCCACACUGGGACUGAGACACGGCCCAGACUCCUACGGGAGGCAGCAGUGGGGAAUUUUGGACAAUGGGCGCAGGCCUGAUCCAGCAAUGCCGCGUGCAGGAAGAAGGCCUUCGGGUUGUAAACUGCUUUUGUACGGAACGAAACGGCUCUGGUUAAUACCUGGGGCUAAUGACGGUACCGUAAGAAUAAGCACCGGCUAACUACGUGCCAGCAGCCGCCGUAA